rnacentral:rRNA from 1 species
UACAGGGGGUGCAAACGUUGCUCGGAAUCAUUGGGCGUAAAGCGCACGUAGGCGGUCUGUUAUGUCGGAUGUGAAAGCCCUCGGCUCAACUGAGGAAGUGCAUCCGAAACUGGCAGGCUAGAGUACUAAAAAGGGUCGCGGAAUUCCCGGUGUAGAGGUGAAAUUCGUAGAUAUCGGGAGGAACACCGGUGGCGAAGGCGGCGACCUGGGUAGAUACUGACGCUGAGGUGCGAAAGCGUGGGGAGCAAACAGGG